rnacentral:rRNA from 1 species
GACGAACGCUGGCGGCGUGCCUAAUACAUGCAAGUUGAGCGAUGAAGAUUGGUGCUUGCUCCAAUUUGAAGAGCAGCGAACGGGUGAGUAACGCGUGGGGAAUCUGCCUUUGAGCGGGGGACCACAUUUGGAAACGAAUGCUAAUACCGCAUAACAACUUUAUCCAUCAGUUUUAAGUUUGAAAGAUGCAAUUGCAUCACUCAAAGAUGAUCCCGCGUUGUAUUAGCUAGUUGGUGAGGUAAAGGCUCACCAAGGCGAUGAUACAUAGCCGACCUGAGAGGGGGAUAGGGCGCAUUGGGGCUGAGACACGGCCCAAACUCCGUCGGGAGGAAGCAAAAGGGAAUCUUCGGCGAUGGACGGAAAGCUGGCCGAAGAACCGCUAGUGAAUGAAGAAGGGUUUCGGAUCGGAAAACUCUGUUGGUAGAGAAGGACGUUGGUAAGAGUGGAAAGCUCAGCAAGUGACGGUAACUACCCAGAAAGGGACGGCUAACUACGUG